CACCGCGGUUAUACGAGAGGCCCAAGCUGACAAUCAACGGCGUAAAGAGUGGUUAAUAAACCCAGAACUAAAGCCGAACGUCUACAAAGUUGUAUAAUACAUUCGAAGAUAUGAAGACCAACCACGAAAGUGACUUUACAUCCUUUGAACCCACGAAAGCUAGGGAA
rnacentral:rRNA from 1 species